rnacentral:rRNA from 1 species
GAUGAACGCUGGCGGCGUGCCUAAUACAUGCAAGUCGAGCGAACGGACGAGAAGCUUGCUUCUCUGAUGUUAGCGGCGGACGGGUGAGUAACACGUGGAUAACCUACCUAUAAGACUGGGAUAACUUCGGGAAACCGGAGCUAAUACCGGAUAAUAUUUUGAACCGCAUGGUUCAAAAGUGAAAGACGGUCUUGCUGUCACUUAUAGAUGGAUCCGCGCUGCAUUAGCUAGUUGGUAAGGUAACGGCUUACCAAGGCAACGAUGCAUAGCCGACCUGAGAGGGUGAUCGGCCACACUGGAACUGAGACACGGUCCAGACUCCUACGGGAGGCAGCAGUAGGGAAUCUUCCGCAAUGGGCGAAAGCCUGACGGAGCAACGCCGCGUGAGUGAUGAAGGUCUUCGGAUCGUAAAACUCUGUUAUUAGGGAAGAACACAUGUGUAAGUAACUGUGCACAUCUUGACGGUACCUAAUCAGAAAGCCACGGCUAACUACGUG